rnacentral:rRNA from 1 species
AGGAUGAACGCUGGCGGCGUGCUUAACACAUGCAAGUCGAACGAUGAAGCAGAGCUUGCUCUGUGGAUUAGUGGCGAACGGGUGAGUAACACGUGAGUAACCUGCCCUUGACUCUGGAAUAAGCGUUGGAAACGACGUCUAAUACCGGAUACGAGCUUCCGCCGCAUGGUGAGGAGUUGGAAAGAAUUUCGGUCAAGGAUGGACUCGCGGCCUAUCAGGUAGUUGGUGAGGUAAUGGCUCACCAAGCCUACGACGGGUAGCCGGCCUGAGAGGGUGACCGGCCACACUGGAACUGAGACACGGUCCAGACUCCUACGGGAGGCAGCAGUGGGGAAUAUUGCACAAUGGGCGCAAGCCUGAUGCAGCAACGCCGCGUGAGGGACGACGGCCUUCGGGUUGUAAACCUCUUUUAGUAGGGAAGAAGCGAUGUGCUUGUCACAUCAUGACGGUACCUGCAGAAAAAGCACCGGCUAACUACGUGCCAGC